GGUCCGGCGAGUACCGGAGAGUGCCGGAGAGUUCCCGCAGAUUGUCGGAGAGUUGCUGGAGCGUGCCGUAGAGUGCUGGAGAGUUGCCGCAUAUUGUCGGAGAGAGCCGGAGAGGACCGCAGAGUGCCGCAGAGUGUCGGAGAGUUGCCGGAGAGUCCCGCAGAAUGCUGGAGAGUUGCCGCAGAGUGCCGCAGAGUGCCGGAGAGAGCCGGAGAGUGCCACAGAAUUGCUGAAGAGUGCCGCAGAGUGCCCGAGAGACCUGGUUUCGCACAUCGACCGUAAACUGUAUAAUUAUGUAGAUGUGUAACCUCUGAUUUACGAACCGAAGCAAUACGCGAGCCAUCACAAUUUAUUCGACUACAACGCCUUCUUACCAUAGGAUAGUCGCCACGAUGAUCUAUGGUCUUCAAUUUCUUGGCAUCGAUGACUGCAGAAUGUUGUUUUUCUAUCUUGAAUUUCUUACUUUCGGUUGCGUGGUGGUAGUAAAUCAUUGUAAAGCAUGGCUACGGGUGUGAACCGCAAAUUAGUCAUGAGUUUACGCGCAGUUCCUAAUUCCUUCUUAAACGUGAAUUCAAUGAAACUGUAAAGAGAAGUAAUGUGCUGCUUUCCAAGUGGAUGUGAUUUGAGGUUAUAGCUUGGCGUCCGUAAAAGUACUAUUUUUAUGUAAGGCGUUGCAAAGGGAAUAGCUCCAUAACCUGAUCUUGAUUUUGUCCAACCGCUUAAGAGAAAAUGUCACGGUCUGAGAAGUCAAGAAACGAAGUGCCAACCUCGCAGGAAAUGGAGGAACGUGAAAUGGAGGAGCGUGAAAUGGUGCAAGAACUUAUGAAUAUUGGAAUAUAUGAAGACGGCUUGUCAUAUAAUCAGAUGAAGGAUAUACUCGGUUUUGUUACUGAAUCAAAACGUAUGGCAAAAAUGGAAACAGAAAGCAGGGCAUCGCAAGCAUUGAAUCUACAUUCUCCACCAAAAUCGCCAGUAGACCCAGGUUUAAAAUCUAAUAUAACACAGAAUGUAGAUGGUCAAGAGCAUGUAGGCACACAUAAAACUAGUAACAUGCCUGUGGCAUAUGAUCGAAGAUCAAUUCAUGUUGUGGAUAGUAACAAAUUUCCAUCUGAUAGCUUUGAAAAAAAAGGCAUGAAAAAUCGAUGCAGAGAGUUGGAUGAUAAGAUGAUUGAUCAAGCUCAAUCAACAAGUAUAUUGCAUUCCAUGGGAUCUAAGGGCUCAUCCCGAGAUUCUCAUAUCACAGAUGGGAAUUUUGAUUUACAGUCAAAGUUUAACCAAAAGAUUGAGAGGUGGAGAUUAAAUCCAUUGGAUGUUCCAAUCAACGAAGCCGAUGUACCACUGCAGACACCUUGUAGACUUGUUAAUCAAAAGAUGUCAUCGCCCAGUGUCUUUAAGAACAUUCAAGAUUUAGACACAAGUGAUAAAAGCAUUGCCAUUGUGGAUAGUCGGUUGGAUAAAAUAGCCAACAUGUGGCACAGUUGGCAUAGGACUACUGCCGAUUCGGAGUUUCAGUGGGGGUCACCCAUUAAGGUGGGCGUGGCUAACGAUAGUUUGGAUAGAAAAUCCCUGACCGAAAGUAGAUAUGCUAAUAAAAUCGAAGAACCAAUUAGAAAAACAUACGAGCGGAGUAGCAAACGUAAGGCUUACACAACUAUCAUGAAAUGUCUCGACUCCAGUGAUGAAACCGACGAUAAUGACCGGAUUUCCAUUAAGAAGAAGAAAUCUAUGCAAGAGCCAGCCAAAACAAUGUCCAAAAUUAUUCAACCGAAGCCUCAACAGUCUGGCAUCGAUAAUGAGAGCAUUCCGGAUACGAAAACUGUCAUAAUGAACGAUGACAGAGAUAGUAGUAGUAGUAAUGAUAUUUUUGAUACCAAGGACAGCAAAAGCAAUAAGACGAUAAAACCCAAGAGACUUACACUUAGUCUAACUAGAACACCAGGAAAUAAGGUCGAUACAGUGUUACAAGAAAGAAAAGACAUUAAACAGGUGACGGAAGGAAACUUAAUAAUAGGAGACAGUGACGACGAAAGUAAUGCAAAUACUGAGCAAGUUAUUCCUGCCAUUCUGAUGUCUGACGACGAGGAUGAAAUCAUGGACACUGACGAAGAUAGGAAAAUUUCCGAAACAGAGCAGGAAGAGUUUCCGGAAUUAAAAGUGUUGAAAACUAAAGGAAUAUUUAGUCGCCUUCAAAGUCAAUGCUCUCGCUUGAAGAAUUUACAGCAGGAAGAGGAGAAACGGCGAAAGCAACAAGAAGAAGAAAAAUUGAAGAAGAAGGAGGAAUUGCAGAAACAGAAGGAAGAGCGGGAGAAGAAACGCAUUCAAGAGGAAAUUGAAUUGGCUAAAUCAAACGAAAUCAAAGAGAAGCAAUUAAAGGCGAAGGAAGAAAGAUGGGCAAAUAUGAUAAAGACAAGAGAAAGAGCCAAAGAGAUCGAAAGAAGAAGAUUGCGAGAAAUCGCAGAAGCAAAGAAAAAGAUGGAACAACAGGAGAAGGAAAGGGAAGAACGCUUACUGAGGGAUGAUGAUGACAUUGAGAUUCUGCAUUCUAAUGUCGAUAAUAAUUCUGGAAGCUGUACCACCUGUCCCAUCUGUAAUGAAUCAUUCCCAGAUGAUGAAAUUCAGAAUCAUGCUGCGCAAUGUGAGCAGUACGAUACUUCAGAUAAGGGGAAUGAUACUCAAGUAGAAACAAAUAGAAAUAGCAACCUAGUCAGCGAGACAUUGAAAUGUUACGUUUGCAAGAAAUUCAGAACAGACGAUGGUAGAUAUUAUGAUGAUCACGUCCAUCGAUGCUUAGAGAGCAAGAAAGACAGUCCUGACGAUGGCCUGACAGCUUCGACAAGCUGGAAAGAUCCAAAUAAUCAUACAGCAGAUACAGAGAUAAGAUAUCGAGUGCCACCUCCUUCAAAGAAUAAAGAGCGGAAGUACCCUGGCAAAAAGAGGAAGCGCUGAGCAUUUCCUAACCAUUGAUCUGUUUUUGAAAGCAUCGGAUAAUGCAACUUUGCAAAUUAUACAUAUGAACGUCACUGGAAGAAACUUGAAAGGCAGAUUUCAAGUCAAUGAUCGAUCUUCCAGUGAAAUAAAAGUGAUUUCCAUACAUCUGUAACAGCAAAGUAAUUCAAAGCAUUUCAUAUCAUAUCCUGCUCUUGUGGGUACCGAUUAUGGUGAUAAAAUGAAACGUAUGAACCGUUUCCAAAAUGCCUUUACUUAAUCGCUGUUUUUCAAGUUUUCAAUGAAAAUCGAUUUUAUGGACCAAUUUCUUAAUAUGUUGUUAACGAGAGGAUAGACUACUUUCAUUUUUAUGAUAAAAUUAAUUCACAUCGGUAACCAUGGUACGCGUGAGUAGUUACCCUCUAACACAGGUUAUCUCUGUGCGAUCUCUUGUGUGCAUUGAAUGCAUGUAAGUACCAAUAAAUAAGUGUACAAUUUGCAAAGCAUUAAAACUGCCAGCUUUGCAAGCGUAGAGGAUUACGAUAAGCUUAAUAUGCUGAACCUCUAUACAUUUUUUCUACAAAAUAUAUUUAUAUACAUAUUACAGCCAAGAAUUUAUGAAGUUUAUUUAUUGGCUAUCAUAUGUUUGUAUCGAUAUACAUGAUUACUAAUAAAAAGGUUCUGAAUUUUAAAAUAUAAUUGUAAACUAGUUACAAAUUUCAGAUACGUCAAAAGUACAAAAGCACGGUAGAAAAUUAACAUAUAAAUGUAUGUAUUGUCUGAUAAAGCGAAAAACAAUUCCAAUCUGCUGAUACAUCCAAUGAUCUUGCCAUUAAUCAAUUCGUAUUAUAAGCCAACAUUUUAUCCGACAGUAGAUGUGUUUAAGAAAGAUUUAAUGAAACGUAACGUAUUACAUUAAAGGUACCAAGCAAUCUGCCUAUACAGAACUCUUAUCAGCAUUAACUUCAAUUCAAAGGUCGUCGACAUCAUUCGUCUUGAAAAAUUCUGCUCUUGUCUUCGUACAACAGUGUACUGUAAUCAGUUGAUUGUCGUCUGGAUAGAAUGGAUAUCUCGAGCGCGAUGCAUCAAGUUAUGAUACGCAUAGUCGCUUGUUGUGUUAACACUGCUGAUAAGAAAAUGUAAACUGGUGUCUCCAGAAAGAACUGAGGCAAUUGUGAGGUUAUGCAUUUAAGUGCUCCUUGAUUACCCGAAGCGAUGGAACGAUUCUGCAGAUUUUUACUAAUUUUUACGUAUAUUUGGAACAAUGGGGACUCUAUGUCGCUCAAUGGAAUAUGGACUGGGCAAAUUCAAUCACUGAACAUAUCAUUUCCUGCCAAUGUACCAGGAGGCAUUUACACGGACUUGGUAAUAAAUAACUUAAUAGAAGAGAACCUCGUAGGGUUUAAUGACAUCAAAAACCGUUGGGUGGGAAAUCAAAGUAUUACCUAUGAGACGCAUUUCAUGGGUAACACAUUUUUCAAUGAUAAAUGAUGAUUCUGUGAGAAUAUCGUACUAAAAUAAGAAUGAUUUACAGUGGAUGAAAGCCUUUUGAAUACUUCGAACAUUGACUUAGUAUUCCAUGGACUGGAUACCUUUGCUAAUGUUUCCAUGAAUGGGAAGUUCCUUGGAAUUUCGUCAAACAUGUUCUUAAGAUAUACAUUUAAUGUGAAAGAUUAUAUAAAGGUACGUUAUGUUCUUAAACCUUAACAGUUGGAAGUUAUUUUGAUUCUUCUGCAAAUACAUUUCAGCCUGGCAGAAAUUACCUAAAGGUGGAAUUUAUCUCGGCUGUUAAAAUUGCUGAGUUACUUUACGAGAAACAGAG